AAUUGCAUUUACCGCUCUAUGGGGAUUAAUUACUUCUAAGUGAUGAAUCAUGCAAAUUCUAAAUUUCACAAUGUACAAUUGACGACACACCUAGUAAAUGACCAAUCCGAACACAACAGUUUAGGACACACCUAGUAAAUGACCAAUAAGAACACAACACGUUUACAACACGCCUAGUCACUGACCAAUCAGAAUACAACACGUUCGUGAAACUUGGGCCAUAGUCUAAGACUAAGAACGUGCCAUUUGAACGUGAAAGUCUGUAGUUGCAGGAAGAAUAGUUAGCCGAAGUCGAAAUUAUUCCACGGUGAAAUAUCUCUUGGAGUCCUUGGAAAAAUUGUUCAGACAUGGACAUUCUUCUCUUAAACGACAAUUAGUCAUCAAAUGAGAUUGAGAAACAACGAACAAAUGUUGGUUUAUUUACCAUGAUCAUAGCCUUCACAAUUAAAGAAAAUGGUUAUUGUUCACAGCGGUUGAAGAGAAUUGUGGCUAUUGUCGACCAGUUCCUCGACGCUCAUCUAAACAUAAGAACAAAAUACAAUUCUGUAAUUUGGUUGAAAUUCUUCUUCCCUUGAACUACAUUACUAGUGAAUAAAAUGUUCAAUAAACCUUCUGAUGAAGAAUGGACAACAUACGUACUUUAAGAAAAUCCUCUGAACAAUGAUCAAGAAUGGGCAGUGUACUUUAAAGAGUCCUCUGAAGAAUGCUCAAGAAUGAACAAUUUACUUUAACGAAGACCUCUGAACAAUGAUCAAGAAUGAACAAUAUACUUUAAUGAAC